CUUGUUUCAACAUUAUCAAACCUGUAAUCACUAUUGUUUGAUGGACUUGUAUGCAUCAUUACCCACAGUGUGCUUAAGUGGGCUCUCCAACCUAUAAUACAAACAUGUGAACCACCUGUGUUCGUUCACAUGCGAACCAGCUGUUGGGUGAGGUGAGCUUCCAGGCUGUGAAGAGCUGCUCUGUUCCCAAGACAAAAAGCCCACAUUCAAACAGAAGAAAGUGGAGUUUCCGGCAUGAGGUCAUUGUGUUGUGUAGGAGAGGAAGAGCAGAGGACUUGAGGUGAAGACAAGAUGGAUGAACAAAGGAAGUAGGGAGAAAGAGGAGAGAGAGAGGGUACUGAGUUCAUAGCAUCACAGCCUGGUAACACAAAAUCACAGACACCCAAACACUAACACUCACACCAGGUUGCAAAACUAGAGGCCACAGUGAGAUGAACUAGACCUUCUGGAAUUGUUGACGUUGCAUUGGACCAGGAAAACAAAUUGU